rnacentral:rRNA from 1 species
CUGCCUGCCCAGUGACCAAAAGUUAAACGGCCGCGGUAUCUUGACCGUGCGAAGGUAGCAUAAUCACUUGUCUCCUAAAUAGAGACUGGUAUGAAUGGCAAGACGGAACCUCACUGUCUCUUUUUCUCUAAUUUUAAUUUCACAAUCCCGUGAAGAGGCGGGAAUUCAAUCGUAAGACGAGAAGACCCUGUCGAGCUGCAGUGAAGUCUUAACUGUUAUUUACCUUUAACUCUAACUAAUAAAAUGAAACUAGUAAAGGUAUUAAGGCAUAGCAAAUCAGGACCAACUUUGAUUGGGGCAAUCACGGAGAAAGUAAAUCCUCCGCUACUAAAAAGUUACAUCAUAGUAACCUAAACUAAAAGACUUACUAAUCUAAGCUCACAAAAUGAAGGUAUGAUCCACUCACAGUGAUCAAAGGAACAAGUUACCGCAGGGAUAACAGCGUUAUCUUUUCUGAGAGUUCAUAUUGACGAAAAGGUUUGCGACCUCGAUGUUGGAUCGGGACAUCCUAAGGGUGCAGAAGCUUUUAAGGGUUGGUCUGUUCGACCAUUAAAGUCCUACGUGAUCUGAGUUCAGACCGGCGAGAGCCAG